GGUAGUAUAGCUGAACAGUCUAAGGCACUGGAGUAAGGCUCCAGUCUCUUUGGAGUUGUGGGUUUGAAUCCCACCGCUGCCA
rnacentral:tRNA from 1 species